rnacentral:rRNA from 1 species
UACGUAGGGUGCGAGCGUUGUCCGGAAUUAUUGGGCGUAAAGAGCUUGUAGGUGGCUCGUUGCGUCGGGAGUGAAAACCUGCGGCUUAACCGCAGGCCUGCUUCCGAUACGGGCGAGCUAGAGUUCGGCAGGGGAGACUGGAAUUCCUGGUGUAGCGGUGAAAUGCGCAGAUAUCAGGAGGAACACCGGUGGCGAAGGCGGUUCUCUGGGCCUUACCUGACGCUGAGGAGCGAAAGCGUGGGGAGCAAACAGG